rnacentral:rRNA from 1 species
GACGUAGGAUGCGGGCGUUAUUCGGAUUUAUUGGGCGUAAAGCGCGUGUAGGCGGCCCUGCAAGUCGGAUGUGAAAUCCCACGGCUCAACCGUGGAAGUGCAUUCGAAACUGCAGGGCUAGAGUCCUGGAGAGGAAGGUGGAAUGCUUGGUGUAGAGGUGAAAUUCGUAGAUAUCAAGCGGAACACCGGUGGCGAAGGCGGCCUUCUGGACAGUGACUGACGCUGAGACGCGAAAGCGUGGGGAGCAAACAGG